rnacentral:rRNA from 1 species
GACGAACGCUGGCGGCGUGCCUAAUACAUGCAAGUAGAACGCACAGUUUAUACCGUAGCUUGCUACACCAUAGACUGUGAGUUGCGAACGGGUUAGUAACGCGUCGGUAACCUGCCUGGUAGCGGGGGAUAACUAUUGUAAACGAUAGCUAAUACCGCAUAAUAUUGAUUAUUGCAUGAUAAUUAAUUGAAAGGUGCAAUUGCACCACUACCAGAUGGACCUGCGUUGUAUUAGCUAGUAGGUGAGGUAACGGCUCACCUAGGCGACGAUACAUAGCCAACCGGAGAGGGUGAUCGGCCGCCCUGGGACUGAGACACGGCCCAGAGUCCUACGGGAGGCAGCAGUAGGGAAUCUUCGGCAAUGGACGAAAGUCUGACCGAGCAACGCCGCGCGAGUGAAGAAGGUUUUCGGAUCGUAAAGCUCUGUUGUAAGAGAAGAACGGGUGUGAGAGUGGAAAGUUCACACUGUGACGGUAUCUUACCAGAAAGGGACGGCUAACUACGUG